rnacentral:rRNA from 1 species
AUACGUAGGUGGCAAGCGUUGUCCGGAAUUAUUGGGCGUAAAGCGCAUGUAGGCGGUGCCUUAAGUCUGUCGUGAAACUGCGGGGCCUAACCCCGUAUGGCGAUGGAAACUGUGGCACUUGAGGGCAGGAGAGGAAAGGGGAACUCCCAGUGUAGCGGUGAAAUGCGUAGAUAUUGGGAAGAACACCGGUGGCGAAGGCGCCUUUCUGGACUGUGUCUGACGCUGAGAUGCGAAAGCCAGGGUAGCGAACGGGAUUAGAUACCCCGGUAGUCCUGGCCGUAAACGAUGGGUACUAGGUGUGGGAGGUAUCGACCCCUUCCGUGCCGGAGUUAACGCAAUAAGUACCCCGCCUGGGGAGUACGGCCGCAAGGCUUAAACUCAAAUGAAUUGACGGGG